GGUUAAGCGACUAAGCGUACACGGUGGAUGCCCUGGCAGUCAGAGGCGAUGAAGGACGUGCUAAUCUGCGAAAAGCGUCGGUAAGGUGAUAUGAACCGUUACAGCCGGCGAUGUCCGAAUGGGGAAACCCAGUGCAAUUCGUUGCACUAUCGUUAACUGAAUACAUAGGUUAACGAGGCGAACCGGGGGAACUGAAACAUCUAAGUACCCCGAGGAAAAGAAAUCAACCGAGAUUCCCCCAGUAGCGGCGAGCGAACGGGGAGCAGCCCAGAGUCUGAAUCAGCUUGUGUGUUAGUGGAACGGUCUGGAAAGUCCGACGGUACAGGGUGAUAGUCCCGUACACCAAAAUGCACAGGCUGUGAACUCGAAGAGUAGGGCGGGACACGUGGUAUCCUGUCUGAAUAUGGGGGGACCAUCCUCCAAGGCUAAAUACUCCUGACUGACCGAUAGUGAACCAGUACCGUGAGGGAAAGGCGAAAAGAACCCCGGCGAGGGGAGUGAAAAAGAACCUGAAACCGUGUACGUACAAGCAGUGGGAGCACCUUCGGGUGUGACUGCGUACCUUUUGUAUAAUGGGUCAGCGACUUAUAUUCUGUAGCAAGGUUAACCGUAUAGGGGAGCCGCAGGGAAACCGAGUCUUAACUGGGCGUUAAGUUGCAGGGUAUAGACCCGAAACCCGGUGAUCUAGCCAUGGGCAGGUUGAAGGUUGGGUAACACUAACUGGAGGACCGAACCGACUAAUGUUGAAAAAUUAGCGGAUGACUUGUGGCUGGGGGUGAAAGGCCAAUCAAACCGGGAGAUAGCUGGUUCUCCCCGAAAGCUAUUUAGGUAGCGCCUCGUGAAUUCAUCUUCGGGGGUAGAGCACUGUUUCGGCUAGGGGGUCAUCCCGACUUACCAACCCGAUGCAAACUACGAAUACCGAAGAAUGUUAUCACGGGAGACACACGGCGGGUGCUAACGUCCGUCGUGAAGAGGGAAACAACCCAGACCGCCAGCUAAGGUCCCAAAGUCAUGGUUAAGUGGGAAACGAUGUGGGAAGGCACAGACAGCCAGGAUGUUGGCUUAGAAGCAGCCAUCAUUUAAAGAAAGCGUAAUAGCUCACUGGUCGAGUCGGCCUGCGCGGAAGAUGUAACGGGGCUAAACCAUGCACCGAAGCUGCGGCAGCGACACUAUGUGUUGUUGGGUAGGGGAGCGUUCUGUAAGCCUGCGAAGGUGUGCUGUGAGGCAUGCUGGAGGUAUCAGAAGUGCGAAUGCUGACAUAAGUAACGAUAAAGCGGGUGAAAAGCCCGCUCGCCGGAAGACCAAGGGUUCCUGUCCAACGUUAAUCGGGGCAGGGUGAGUCGACCCCUAAGGCGAGGCCGAAAGGCGUAGUCGAUGGGAAACAGGUUAAUAUUCCUGUACUUGGUGUUACUGCGAAGGGGGGACGGAGAAGGCUAUGUUAGCCGGGCGACGGUUGUCCCGGUUUAAGCAUGUAGGCUGAUUGUCCAGGCAAAUCCGGAUAAUCAAGGCUGAGGUGUGAUGACGAGGCACUACGGUGCUGAAGUAACAAAUGCCCUGCUUCCAGGAAAAGCCUCUAAGCAUCAGGUAACAUUAAAUCGUACCCCAAACCGACACAGGUGGUCAGGUAGAGAAUACCAAGGCGCUUGAGAGAACUCGGGUGAAGGAACUAGGCAAAAUGGUGCCGUAACUUCGGGAGAAGGCACGCUGGUGUGUAGGUGAAGCCCCUGCGGGUGGAGCUGAGACCAGUCGAAGAUACCAGCUGGCUGCAACUGUUUAUUAAAAACACAGCACUGUGCAAACACGAAAGUGGACGUAUACGGUGUGACGCCUGCCCGGUGCCGGAAGGUUAAUUGAUGGGGUUAUCCGUAAGGAGAAGCUCUUGAUCGAAGCCCCGGUAAACGGCGGCCGUAACUAUAACGGUCCUAAGGUAGCGAAAUUCCUUGUCGGGUAAGUUCCGACCUGCACGAAUGGCGUAAUGAUGGCCAGGCUGUCUCCACCCGAGACUCAGUGAAAUUGAACUCGCUGUGAAGAUGCAGUGUACCCGCGGCAAGACGGAAAGACCCCGUGAACCUUUACUAUAGCUUGACACUGAACAUUGAGCCUUGAUGUGUAGGAUAGGUGGGAGGCUUUGAAGCGUGGACGCCAGUCUGCGUGGAGCCAACCUUGAAAUACCACCCUUUAAUGUUUGAUGUUCUAACGUUGGCCCCUUACCGGGGUUGCGGACAGUGUCUGGUGGGUAGUUUGACUGGGGCGGUCUCCUCCCAAAGCGUAACGGAGGAGCACGAAGGUUAGCUAAUCCUGGUCGGACAUCAGGAGGUUAGUGCAAUGGCAUAAGCUAGCUUGACUGCGAGCGUGACGGCGCGAGCAGGUGCGAAAGCAGGUCAUAGUGAUCCGGUGGUUCUGAAUGGAAGGGCCAUCGCUCAACGGAUAAAAGGUACUCCGGGGAUAACAGGCUGAUACCGCCCAAGAGUUCAUAUCGACGGCGGUGUUUGGCACCUCGAUGUCGGCUCAUCACAUCCUGGGGCUGAAGUAGGUCCCAAGGGUAUGGCUGUUCGCCAUUUAAAGUGGUACGCGAGCUGGGUUUAGAACGUCGUGAGACAGUUCGGUCCCUAUCUGCCGUGGGCGCUGGAGAAUUGAGGGGGGCUGCUCCUAGUACGAGAGGACCGGAGUGGACGCAUCACUGGUGUUCGGGUUGUCAUGCCAAUGGCACUGCCCGGUAGCUAAAUGCGGAAGAGAUAAGUGCUGAAAGCAUCUAAGCACGAAACUUGCCCCGAGAUGAGUUCUCCCUGAGACUUUAAGUCUCCUGAAGGAACGUUAAAGACGAUGACGUUGAUAGGCCGGGUGUGUAAGCGCAGCGAUGCGUUGAGCUAACCGGUACUAAUGAACCGUGAGGCUUAACCUU
rnacentral:rRNA from 1 species